rnacentral:rRNA from 1 species
UCCUACGGGGGGCAGCAGUGAGGAAUAUUGGUCAAUGGGCGGGAGCCUGAACCAGCCAAGCCGCGUGAAGGAAGAAGGCGCCAAGCGUCGUAAACUUCUUUUGUCGGGGAACAAAGGGCGCCACGUGUGGCGUUGUGAGUGUACCCGAAGAAAAAGCAUCGGCUAACUCCGUGCCAGCAGCCGCGGUAAUACGGAGGAUGCGAGCGUUAUCCGGAUUUAUUGGGUUUAAAGGGUGCGUAGGCGGUCCGGAAAGUCAGCGGUAAAAGCCCGGGGCUCAACCUCGGCGAGCCGUUGAAACUGUCGGA